rnacentral:tRNA from 1 species
GGGCGCGUAGCUCAGCGGGAGAGCAUUCGCUUCACACGCGAAGGGUCGCAGGUUCAAUCCCUGCCGCGCCCA